rnacentral:rRNA from 1 species
GACGAACGCUGGCGGCGUGCUUAACACAUGCAAGUCGAACGGAAAGGCCCUGCUUUUGUGGGGUGCUCGAGUGGCGAACGGGUGAGUAACACGUGAGUAACCUGCCCUUGACUUUGGGAUAACUUCAGGAAACUGGGGCUAAUACCGGAUAGGAGCUCCUGCUGCAUGGUGGGGGUUGGAAAGUUUCGGCUGUUGGGGAUGGACUCGCGGCUUAUCAGCUUGUUGGUGGGGUAGUGGCUUACCAAGGCUUUGACGGGUAGCCGGCCUGAGAGGGUGACCGGCCACGUUGGGACUAAGAUACGGCCCAGACUCCUACGGGACGCAGCAGUUGGGAAUGUUGCACAAUGGACGGAAGCCUGAUGAAGCAACGCCGCGUGCGGGAUCACGGCCUUCGGGUUGUAAACCACUUUCGCCUGUGACGAAGCGUGAGUGACGGUAAUGGGUAAAGAAGCACCGGCUAACUACGUG